CAGUGAUUGAUUCCCUUUGUUGCUUGAGGGCCAUAGUUUUGUAUAUUUUGUCCAGUAUUUUUGUUGCUUUAGGUCAGAAAGUAAUUUUGGUUUCUGUUACUCCAUCUUGGCCAGAAGUGUAAGUCACUUACCUAAGCAUUUAUAUAUCAAAAUGCUGCAUAUAUAAUUUUAGUUUAAGCUACUUUUAAAAAAUCUCCUUCAUUUUCCAUUUGGCAUUCUAUUUAGGGUAUUACAUUGAUUUUUUGGAAAUUCUGUUAUUGGCAGUUUCUAUUGCCUAUCACUUCCAUUUAAAGAUAGUGCAUAGGAUAUUCUAAAAUAGCUAUUCAACAAAGAGAAAAUUGGGCCUGAUAGGGUGAGAAUCACAGCUCGAAUACCUCAAGUGACCUUAUGAUGUAUUGUCUAAAGGAGACACUUUUGACAGUGAAAGAGGGUGUUGUUAGUAAAUAUAUCAGGACCAUGGCCUAAACCAGGACUAUCCCAGGCAUCCUGGGACAUAUUUGUACCUCAUUUCUAUUUUAUGCCUUUAUACAAUUCUCUGCUUAAUUCUACAAGCCUUUAUUGAGCCUACUUCUUUGUCCAGCUGAGUGCCACAUGCUGACAUCACUAAGAUCAAUAUGGCAAACUCUGAAAGAUGGACAGAGAGAGAGGAGAUGGUCUUUUAUAAUGCAGUGUGAUCUGUGCUCCAAUAGAGAUGGAAGAGUGUUCUGAUUGACUGGAAAACAACGCACAUGGAAAGCUGUACAGAAAUCAGAGGGGAAAGUUUUGGAGGUUAGAAAUUCAAAACAAGGUGUUGGCAGCACCACACUCUCUCUGAAGAUGCUAGGAAGGAUCUAUUCCAUGCCUUUCCAUUCGCUUCUGGAGUUUCCUGCAAGCCCUGACAUUCCUUGGCUCAUAGAUGCAUCAGCCCAGUUUCCGCCCCCAUCAUCACAUGGCCUCCUCUCUGUGUGCACGUCUGCAUUCCCUCUCCUCUUCUUCUGAGGACACUCGUCAUAGUAGAUUAAGGGACCUCCUAACUAAUUACAUCAGCAACAACCCUGUUUCCAAAUAAAGUCACAUUCUAAGA